rnacentral:rRNA from 1 species
GACGAACGCUGGCGGCGUGCCUAAUACAUGCAAGUAGGACGCAGUUGCGAACGGGUGGGUAACGCGUAGGUAACUACCUAUUAGAGGGGGAUAACUAUUGGAAACGAUAGCUAAUAACGCAUACUAGUAGAUGGAACUGCGUUGUAUUAGCUAGUAGGUAGGGAAAUGGCAUACCUAGGCAACGAUACAUAGGCGACCUGGUAGGGGUAGCGGCCACAAUGGGACGUAGGCAACGCCCAGACUCCUACGGGAGGGAGCAGGAGGGAAUCUUCGGCAAUGGGGGGAACCCCUACCGAGCAACGCCGCGUGAUUGAAGAAGGUUUUCGGAUCGUAAAGCUCCGUUGUUAAGGAAGCGUUACUUAACCAGAAAGGGACGGCUAACUACGUGCCAGCAGCCGCGGUAAUAC